GUGUUUGUGUGUGUGUAUUCAAGUGGGUGUUGAAAAGUUCCUUGCUUUAAGGGUAUUGCAAAAGGCCUGGUUGGAGGCCCUACCUUCUGAGUUCCUUUACAGGACUUAGGAAAACUGAAGGACUGCUGCAAUAAGUGUGAAUCUGAAAGGGGAAUAUGUGGAAUAAAAUCAUAAUUAACUGUU